UGAUCUAGGUGUCCCUGCUCCAGAAGGGGGGCUAGACUAGAUGAUCUUUCAAGGUCCCUUCAAAUCCCUAACAACCUGUGAUUCUGCGAUUUUCUCCUCCUCCUGUCAGAUUAGCAGUUACAGCCAUAAUACAUCAAUCUCUAACUUAAAAAACAAACAACCAAAAAAGUCAUGCCUCAGCAGGUUACUGCUGCAGAUAUUACAUAGCACAGAUUUAAAAUUCUUAUUUCACUUGAAUGAACUCUGUUUUCCCGUUUGCUUUUCCUCCACUUUCUCUGAGACCAGUGAAGUAACCUAGGCCUUAGCUGACAGGGCAGAAACAAAUGAGUGAAGGCGACAUGCCUAGUGAGCUGCCUGAUGAAGAAAAUCCUAACUACUAUUAAGCCUUAUACAGUGAAGCAUCAGAUCCAGAUUAAUUGAGUAUUCUGAAUGUUUUAUGUCAUAUAUGGGAUGCUUUCAGCUAGUAUAUGAUUUUGCUUUUAAAAACAGGAAGAACAAAAAUAACCUGCAGCUCUAUCCUAUGAGGUCAUGACAAAAAAGCAUACAGAACAGUAACAAAGAUACUUAACAAAACAAAAUUCAAAGAGGGGACUAAUUGGAUUUCUGCCUGUGUUGUUUAGAUUCUGGAGGAUACUGUUUUUCUAAUGUUUCAAAGGCCCUUUAAUCAGACAGUACAUAUGCUUCAUGUAAAUUACCUCAUACCAAUAAUAACACAUACUAAUGCCUAUUAAAGAUAUAUAAAAAUAAUUUCAGACACAUAUGUAACCAUAGUUUCAGACACUGACCAAUAAAAGUCAGUGUGUCAAUAAAUAAUCUGGUUUGUGUCUGAAUAACCUGGCUACUGUACAAUAUGGUUUGCAUUUGAACAACUUCCAUCUGUCACAAGCUGGACUCUGCUCUGAAGAAUAACAAUAUAAUGACCAGGGAAAUCACAGCAACUGCUGAGAGUGAAGGGAUGAUAAAAAUACAGCAGUGGUCCGCUGCUCUGUAGCAUCACGAAUGAAGAAGGAAUGACUUAUGAGCAAUGCCAUUUAAUCAGUGACAUAUUACCAUGGCUUCAACUUUUUGUUCUCAUCUCUAGCUUUCUCAGCUGCCUGUCUCAGAAAGGAAAAUAAAGGAAGCUCAGAGAUCUUCAACUCAGAAGAGUAUGAACUCAUGGAAAUGGAAGAGAAAUAACAAUGGUCAGGUAAGGGACAGAGACAGAGAGAGAAACAGAACAUUUCUAUUCUCUUAAGAAAGUGAGACAAGUUGUCCUUUCAGCUGCAAGAGUGGGAAUGGGUAAUCAAGAUAUGGAAAUGACAAAAAUACUUUGAUUCUGGUUUGUUGUUUUUUGAAACACCCACUGUGUACAAAUGCCUGCAUAUAAGUAUGAAAAAAUAUGGAAAUUAAUGGAAAUCUGAUCCAUGACAUUUUUAGGGCUCCAUGCAGGCAAAUCCGAACAAUAAAUAUAUUUAACGGUUAUGAACAAAAAGGGAGGAAAAUUAGAUAGGCUUAUGUUCAGUUUCAGACCACACGACUCAUACUAUUCUUUCAAUGCCUACUUCUGCAGUUGCUUCAUCCACAGAACUCCAAGCCUGCAAGAACUUCUUGUGCAAAUGAUAUAAUAAUCAAAUUGUAGGGCAAUAUUAAAAAACAUACCUCCAUUCUGCAAGAUCUGUCACAGAAGUCCCUAAGAUAAUAUCUGCAAAUCAGUGUAAAGUGCCAUUGCUAUGCAGUAAUUUAAAACCUGAGAACUUGUUACAAUGGCUCACUUCCCUGCGGGGUGCCUAACACUGUACUGUCACCACAAUUACUGGAAAUAACCAAAGGAUGGAUUUAUCUCACUGCCUAUCUACUCACUUAAGAUCAUGCUCUUGAGCAACAGGAAAAAAUACUCAUUUCCAAACAACGCAUACACUGAACAUUGUUUAAAAAAGUCAUGCUCACACCCAUAUUUUAUAUUUUAUUAGUAUCUCAGAAAGUCGGAUACCCGUUUCGUUUACUUGCAUUAAAUUGAACUGAAAAUUAAACCAAGUUUUUUUUUCCCCCACACACUUCUAACUAUUCUUGAGUGAAAGAAUUAAGACAGCAUCUAUUGGAUUUGCCCUCCUCAAGUAUUUCUGAACCGAUGGCAUUCAUGGCACUAUACCCAACAAAUGACAAUUACGUUAUUUACACUGAAAUUUGGACAUACAUCUGAGUAUUUGUCAGUCUUGGUGAGGAACAAACAAUUUUAGAAGAUUGUGACAAGCAAGGCAUUAUAACAACCUGAAAUUUAAAAAGUCUUUUUUGUAUUUUAAGAAACUGUUGGUCAUAAGAAUCCAAAUUAUAUCUAACAACAUUGCAAGUUCCGUUUUUAACCAAACCAACCAACACAAAACUCCUCCCUUCUCUCUCUGUGCUGAGGACAAGGAUCAAUACCGUACUACUGACCAGCAGUUUUUAACAGCUACACAACGCCAUCUGCUGACACUAUGAAGACAGAACACAGUUAUUUCAGAGUGCAACAUGCCAUCUCUGGAAGCAAUUUCGUUUUUGUUUGCCUAAUUAAAUACAGUUAAGUCUGUUGUCUUCUGAUAGACUGAAUCCUGGAUUCGAAGUCCCAAAAGAUUUCUCUAGUCGUUGCUCUUAAAAAGCUGCAUUAUUUAAAAUAUAUUUACAAAGUGCUGUCUGUAAACAGAAGAUCAAAGCACCAAUAUUUGCAUAUUGAUGUGAAUAUUAACAUAUUAAUAUUUACAACUUAAAAGAAGACAAAUUAAUUUAG